AAGCAGUUAUAUCUGGCAACCGGCCAUCAUUCUGGCCCCAGCAUGAAUGAUACUCUGCUUGCUAUUCUGCUAGUGAUCAAACACGUCACUCAUAGGGGAGGUGGCACAUAAUAACUAAGAAGAAAUAGAAACCACUUAAAGCCUCAGGGUCCCUAAUGCUUAUAUCCUAUAGCCUCCCCCAGGCCCCAGGUGCCUUUCCC
rnacentral:lncRNA from 1 species